UUUCCCAAAAUAAAAAAUAAAAUGACACAUCUGCCCUUCUCUGGUUCUCCCUGAAUCUGCCGACAUCUUCAUCUUCCUUCGCCACAUCGCACGCCUUCUCUCUGAUAUUGUUGAAGACAAAGCCUCUAAUGGAAGAAUAACCACAUGGGACGGCGUCACGAAUAAGCAAGCCCCUGACCCCUCACGACGUCUGCUUACUUUAUCACUCCGGUCCAAGGCCGGCCUCGUUGUCGGCGUCGUCACCGUUGUGCGUGAGUGGUACGGCCCAGGCGGCCCCUUGGGAUGAAGGAGAUGAAUCUGUGAUUUGGGAGGCGGCUAUGAAGGGGACGUCCAAGACGGAAUCGACGGCGAGGAGAUUGGAGAAGAAGAAUGAUUACGGUUCUUGGUGAAAUGGUAGGUCGAAGGACUGAAUAUCUCCGUGGCAGCGGCCUCAGCUGCGGCGGCAUGAACAUCUCUGGGCGAGUUGAAAGCGAGGAAAAAGAGUGGCUAGAGGAGGAAGCAGAUGACAGAUUCAGUGAGGAUGGUGUAAGGACAAAUGGGUCAUUUUAUUUGGAAAUAUAUCUACAUCUCAACACCUUGGGGCUGCAAAAUAAUUUCACCAGUCGAUAAAACUUUUGAGUCAGUAUAAUUGUGCGCGCGUUUAAGUCAUUCUCCCCAACCUUUUUUUUUUUUUUUUUUUUAACUUUCCAGAAGAUAGUAUAGACUGGAGACAUUAAGAUCUUUGUAUAA